rnacentral:pre_miRNA from 1 species
UCAAACCUACUUGGAUGAGUCAGUAUAGGUUUAGGAUCAGGUAAUCUGCAUCCUGAGGUUUAAAACAAUAGGUUUAUUGUGUCUAGUCCUUAGGAUGCAGAUUACCGCUUCCUAAUGUUAUCACCAAUAGAUGGAGCAUUUAAAUCAGUUUGA